rnacentral:rRNA from 1 species
UACGAAGGGUGCAAGCGUUGCUCGGAAUCACUGGGCGUAAAGCGCACGUAGGCGGGUCUUUAAGUCAGGGGUGAAAUCCUGGAGCUCAACUCCAGAACUGCCUUUGAUACUGAGGAUCUCGAGUCCGGGAGAGGUGAGUGGAACUCCGAGUGUAGAGGUGAAAUUCGUAGAUAUUCGGAAGAACACCAGUGGCGAAGGCGGCUCACUGGCCCGGUACUGACGCUGAGGUGCGAAAGCGUGGGGAGCAAACAGG